GAUGAACGCUGGCGGCGUGCCUAAUACAUGCAAGUCGAGCGAACAGACGAGGAGCUUGCUCCUCUGACGUUAGCGGCGGACGGGUGAGUAACACGUGGAUAACCUACCUAUAAGACUGGGAUAACUUCGGGAAACCGGAGCUAAUACCGGAUAAUAUAUUGAACCGCAUGGUUCAAUAGUGAAAGACGGUUUUGCUGUCACUUAUAGAUGGAUCCGCGCCGCAUUAGCUAGUUGGUAAGGUAACGGCUUACCAAGGCAACGAUGCGUAGCCGACCUGAGAGGGGGAUCGGCCACACUGGAACUGAGACACGGUCCAGACUCCUACGGGAGGCAGCAGUAGGGAAUCUUCCGCAAUGGGCGAAAGCCGGACGGAGCAACGCCGCGUGAGUGAUGAAGGUCUUCGGAUCGUAAAACUCUGUUAUUAGGGAAGAACAAAUGUGUAAGUAACUAUGCACGUCUUGACGGUACCUAAUCAGAAAGCCACGGCUAACUACGUG
rnacentral:rRNA from 1 species